rnacentral:rRNA from 1 species
AGAGUUUGAUCAUGGCUCAGGACGAACGCUGGCGGCGUGCCUAAUACAUGCAAGUUGCCACGCUUGAUUUUCACCGAAGCUUGCUUCACCGAAAAUCAAGAGUAGCGAACGGGUGAGUAACGCGUGGGUAACCUACCUAUCAGCGGGGGAUAACUAUUGGAAACGAUAGCUAAUACCGCAUAACAAUGUUGGAUGCAUAUUCGACAUUUGAAAGUACCAAAUGGUACACUGAGAGAUGGACCCGCGUUGUAUUAGCUAGUUGGUAGUGUAAUGGACUACCAAGGCGAUGAUACAUAGCCGACCUGAGAGGGUGAUCGGCCACAUUGGGACUGAGACACGGCCCAAACUCCUACGGGAGGCAGCAGUAGGGAAUCUUCGGCAAUGGACGAAAGUCUGACCGAGCAACGCCGCGUGAGUGAAGAAGGUUUUCGGAUCGUAAAACUCUGUUGUUAGAGAAGAACGUUGCAUAGAGUGGAAAAUUAUGCAAGUGACGGUAUCUAACCAGAAAGGGACGGCUAACUACGUGCCAGCAGCCGCGGUAAUACGUAGGUCCCGAGCGUUGUCCGGAUUUAUUGGGCGUAAAGCGAGCGCAGGUGGUUUAAUAAGUCUGAUGUAAAAGGCAGUGGCUCAACCAUUGUGUGCAUUGGAAACUGUUAGACUUGAGUGCAGUAGAGGAGAGUGGAAUUCCAUGUGUAGCGGUGAAAUGCGUAGAUAUAUGGAGGGACACCGGUGGCGAAAGCGGCUCUCUGGACUGUCACUGACACUGAGGCUCGAAAGCGUGGGUAGCAAACAGGAUUAGAUACCCUGGUAGUCCACGCCGUAAACGAUGAGUGCUAGUUGUUUGGGGCUAUCCAGCCCUAAGUGACGCAGCA